rnacentral:tRNA from 1 species
GAACUUAUGGCUUAGUGGUCAGAGCGCUUGGACGGUUUCCAAGAGGCGCGGGUAUAAAUCCCGCUACGUCUA